CAUGGUGGAAUAUUAGGCCACAGAGAAGGGGUCAUGAGAUUGGAGCUGUUGGCCUCAAAGGUUGAGAACAGCUGAGGGGCAGACUCUUACAAGGCACCAUGGUAGGUGCUGAAAUGAACAAAGACAAGAUUCUCUGUCCUGAAAACCAGUCCAGUAAGGAUACAAACAAGCACGUAGUCAUUACACACAGAGGAAUUUUGUACAUACAAUGAAAGCCUUUCCUUAGUGGUCUGAUCUGCAAGAGAGCAGAAAGCACCUGAUGAAGGACGCCUCCAGACCUAGCUUGUUCAGGAGUCCAGCUCCAUGGCUGUGAAAGGGGGGCCAUGUUUCCUGCAGAAACUGGAGCAGAAAGCAGGGUAAAGGCAGAUAUAAAGAUGGAAAGGCUGCAAGAAGAGAGAGAGCCUCAGGGAUUCAGACUGAUCAUGGAUCCAUAUAAACAAAACGUGCCCCUAAGUGUGCAGAGAUGGUGCUUGAUGGAGUCUGGAAGGCCUUCACAUCCACAGACGUGUCUCAUGUUCACAACAGAAACUUGCUCUUCCCUCAACAAGCAGCUAUUUCAAGUUCCUCUGCCUUUGCCUUCGCUCUUCUCUCUCCACCUGUGAAAAAUCUAAAGGAUUCGUUUGAAGUACCUCCUCCUUGAAGCCCUUCCUUGACUCCAGGCAGAAUUUGCCACACCUCCCUCUGUGCUCCCAGAGUGCAUCGUAUAUACCCGAUAUUUUCAUAGGUACUGACACUAGGUAUUGGAAUUAACCUAUAUUCUGCCUCCACACCCCCACCUGAACAUGGCCUCCCCAAGGGCAGAAGUGGAGUCUUAUUCAUUUAUGUAUCCUCAGUGUUUAGCACCUUGCCUGGCAUAGAGUAGGUGGUCAACUUGGUAGACAUGAUGUAAAGGCAAGCAAGGAAGUUAAUGUCACCUCUGUUCAAGAAAGGAGUGAACUGAUGCUCAAGGAUGGACGCCUAAAAUGCCUCAGCUAGUAAGUGAUGAAGCUGGAAUUUGAAUCUAGGUUAGUUUGACUGCCAAACAUGUGCGCUUUCAGUUCUGCGAUUGAUAGUCACCUCCGUCACCAUCACCAUCACCAUCACCAUCACCAUCAUCGUCUUCCCACUGAUAGCACUGGGCCGGGAACGUAAUGAAUUCUAGUUGAAUGAAGAAAUGCACUACUGCCAUCAUUAUGAUUAUCACUUCCCCUUCUUGCUUCCUAAUAAAGCUGCUUUCUCGCACUCCUGCCAUAAGCAUGUAUUGAGUGUUGAAGCAUCUAGAACAUCUUAACUUCUUCUGCAUCUCCUGUGCUGCUAGCUAGCACAGUUUUGACCUGUCAGCACCUAACGAUAGACUCAUUGACUUGACUUGUUGACCUUCACGUUCCUAGAAUGAGGAAAUGUGCUCCAGCUGAGAAGUCAGCACACUUCCUGGAAGAGGGCACACAGCUUGAGCCUGAGGACAAAGCUGUCACUCUUCACAUCUCCAACCAAAAGUUUACAGUUAGUCUGGUAGAGUGGAAACAACCCUGAACUUGAGAGCCAAAGCUCUUGGUUUAUGUCCUUUUGCAUUGAUUUGCAAAGUAAUUUUGGACAAAUCCCAUUAUAUCUCUUAGUCUGUUUCUUCAUGUGUGAAAACAAGAGAGGUAAUAUUUUUUACUUUCUUCACAGAUUGGUAUGAAG
ensembl:lncRNA